GAGCCACCUCUCUCUAAAAAUGAUGCCAGGAAUGACAGAACUGGUUCAGUAGGGAGUACUUCUAAGACAUCCAAACCGCCACAAUCAGAUACAGCUGUGAAAUAUAGUGCCUCGCCUGCGAAAGCUGCACAGCUCGAGAGGCAAAGCUCAUCAGCAAGUGAGGAAUCAACUUUGACAAGUGAGGAGGAACAGCCAUCGGAGGAAAGGAGUCG
rnacentral:misc_RNA from 1 species